rnacentral:rRNA from 1 species
CAAUAAGCGGAGGAAAAGAAACCAACAGGGAUUGCCCUAGUAACGGCGAGUGAAGCGGCAACAGCUCAAAUUUGAAAUCUGGCGCAAGCCCGAGUUGUAAUUUGUAGAGGAUGCUUCUGGGCAGCGGCCGUUCUAAGUUCCUUGGAACAGGACGUCAUAGAGGGUGAGAAUCCCGUAUGUGAACGGCGCGCACCCUCCACGUAGCUCCUUCGACGAGUCGAGUUGUUUGGGAAUGCAGCUCUAAAUGGGAGGUAAAUUUCUUCUAAAGCUAAAUACCGGCCAGAGACCGAUAGCGCACAAGUAGAGUGAUCGAAAGAUGAAAAGCACUUUGGAAAGAGAGUUAAAAAGCACGUGAAAUUGUUGAAAGGGAAGCGCUCACAACCAGACUUCGCAGCGGUGUUCCGCCGGUCCUCUGACCGGUCCACUCGCCGCCGCGAGGCCAACAUCAUCUGGGGCCGCCGGAUAAGACCGUAGGAAUGUAGCUCCCCUCGGGGAGUGUUAUAGCCUGCGGUGAUGCGGCGAGCCUCGGGUGAGGUCCGCACUUCGGUAAGGAUGUUGGCGUAAUGGUUGUUAGCGGCCCGUCUUGAAACACGGACCAAGGAGUCUAACAUCUAUGCGAGUGUUCGGGUGUCAAACCCCUACGCGUAAUGAAAGUGAACGGAGGUGGGAACGCAAGUGCACCAUCGACCGAUCCUGAUGUCCUCGGAUGGAUUUGAGUAAGAGCAUAGCUGUUGGGACCCGAAAGAUGGUGAACUAUGCCUGAAUAGGGUGAAGCCAGAGGAAACUCUGGUGGAGGCUCGCAGCGGUUCUGACGUGCAAAUCGAUCGUCAAAUUUGGGUAUAGGGGCGAAAGACUAAUCGAACCAUCUAGUAGCUGGUUCCUGCC